rnacentral:rRNA from 1 species
AAUUAACCCUCACUAAAGAGAGUUUGAUCCUGGCUCAGGACGAACGCUGGCGGCGUGCCUAAAACAUGCAAGUCGAACGGUGUAGCAAUACACAGUGGCGAACGGCGAAGUAAUACAUAAGCAACGUGCCCUSMMGACUGGGAUAGUCAGAGGAAACUCUGGGUAAUACCAGAUGUGGUCAUCAUCCGGCAUCGGGAGAUGAUUAAAUGGUUUUUCGCUUCAGGAGCGGCUUAUGGCCUAUCAGGUAGUUGGUGGGGUAAUGGCCUACCAAGCCGACGACGGGUAGCGGGUCUGAGAGGAUGAUCCGCUCGAGUGGGACUGAGACAMGGCCCACACACCUACGGGUGGCAGCAGUUGGGAAUCUUGCACAAUGGGGGAAACCCUGAUGCAGCGACGGCGCGUGGAGGAUGAAGGAUCUAGGUCUGUAAACUCCUUUUUYAGGGAAAGACUUAGGACGGUACCCUGAGAAUAAGGACCGGCUAACUACGGGCCAGCAGCCGCGGUAAGRCGUAGGGUCCCAAGCGUUGUCCGGAUUUACUGGGCGUAAAGAGCGCGUAGGGGGYSUGUUUAAAGGUUGUGAGAAGAUGAAAAUCUCCNCAGGGCCUCAACCCGGAAACUGCUCUGCAUACUGGCAGGCUGGAGUGAUGCAGAGGUUUGUGGAAUYCCUGGUGUAASGGUGAAAUGUGUUGAUAUCAGGAGGVACACCCAUGGCGAAGGCAGCAAACUGGGCAUUAACUGACGSUGAGGCGCGAAAGGYGKGGGUAGCAAACASGGAUUAGAUACCCUGGUAGUCCACGCCCUAAACGAUGGAUACUAGGCGUAAGAGGUAUCGACCCCUCUUGUGCCGCASUAACGCAUUAAGUAUCCCGCCUGGGGAGUACGGCCGCAAGGUUGAAACUCAAAGGAAUUGACGG